rnacentral:misc_RNA from 1 species
GAUGAAGAACGCAGUGAAAUGCGAUACGUAAUGUGAAUUGCAGAAUUCAGUGAAUCAUCGAAUCUUUGAACGCACAUUGCGCCUGCCAGCACUCUGGCAGGCAUGCCUGUUCGAGCGUCAUUUCAACCAUCAAGCCCUAGGCUUGCGUUGGAGCCCUGCGGCUGCUGCAGGCCCCUAAAAGCAGUGGCGGGCUCGCUAUCACACCGAGUGCAGUAGAUUACUCUUCGCUCAGGGCGUGUGGCGGGUUCCAGCCGUGAAACCCCCUACUUCUCAAGGUUGACCUCGGAUCAGGUAGGAAUACCCGCUGAACUUAAGCAUAUCAAUAAGCGGAGGA